rnacentral:rRNA from 1 species
AGAGUUUGAUCCUGGCUCAGGAUGAACGCUGGCGGCGUGCCUAAUACAUGCAAGUCGAGCGAACAGAUAAGGAGCUUGCUCCUUUGAAGUUAGCGGCGGACGGGUGAGUAACACGUGGGUAACCUACCUAUAAGACUGGGAUAACUUCGGGAAACCGGAGCUAAUACCGGAUAACAUUUAGAACCGCAUGGUUCUAAAGUGAAAGAUGGUUUUGCUAUCACUUAUAGAUGGACCCGCGCCGUAUUAGCUAGUUGGUAAGGUAACGGCUUACCAAGGCGACGAUACGUAGCCGACCUGAGAGGGUGAUCGGCCACACUGGAACUGAGACACGGUCCAGACUCCUACGGGAGGCAGCAGUAGGGAAUCUUCCGCAAUGGGCGAAAGCCUGACGGAGCAACGCCGCGUGAGUGAUGAAGGGUUUCGGCUCGUAAAACUCUGUUAUUAGGGAAGAACAAAUGUGUAAGUAACUGUGCACAUCUUGACGGUACCUAAUCAGAAGCCACGGCUAACUACGUG